rnacentral:rRNA from 1 species
CCGCGGUAAUACGGAGGAUGCAAGCGUUAUCCGGAAUGAUUGGGCGUAAAGGGUCUGCAGGUGGAACUGAAAGUCUGCUGUUAAAGAGUUUGGCUUAACCAAAUAAAAGCGGUGGAAACUACAGAACUAGAGUGCGGUAGGGGCAAAAGGAAUUCCUGGUGUAGCGGUGAAAUGCGUAGAUAUCAGGAAGAACACCGGUGGCGAAAGCGUUUUGCUAGACCGUAACUGACACUGAGGGACGAAAGCUAGGGGAGCGAAAGGGAUUAGAUACCCCUGUAGU